AUUGAACGCUGGCGGCAGGCCUAACACAUGCAAGUCGAACGCGAGGCGGACGGGGGAGUAAUGUAUGGGCAACUGCCUGAUGGAGGGGGAUAACUAACGGAAACGGUAGCUAAUGCCGCAAAGCAUCGCGUGUGCCGACAGGGGAUUAGCUAGUCGGGGGGGUAAAGGAUAACAUAGGCGACGAGCACUAGCUGGUCUGAGAGGAUGACGCGCCACACUGGAACUGGGACACGGUCCAUACUCCUACGGGAGGCAGCAGUGGGGAAUAUUGCACAAGGGGCGCAAGCCUGAUGCAGCCAUGCCGCGUGUAUGAAGAAGGCCUUAGGGUUGUAAAGUACUGUCAGUCGGGAGGCGUUACCGACAGAAGAAGCACCGGCUAACUCCGUGCCAGCAGCCGCGGUAAUAC
rnacentral:rRNA from 1 species